rnacentral:rRNA from 1 species
AUUGAACGCUGGCGGCAUGCCUUACACAUGCAAGUCGAACGGCAGCACGGGAGCUUGCUCCUGGUGGCGAGUGGCGAACGGGUGAGUAAUACAUCGGAACGUACCCUGAAGUGGGGGAUAACGUAGCGAAAGUUACGCUAAUACCGCAUAUUCUGUGAGCAGGAACGAGGGGGAUCGCAAGACCUCUUGCUUUAGGAGCGGCCGAUGUCGGAUUAGCUAGUUGGUGAGGUAAAGGCUCACCAAGGCGACGAUCCGUAGCGGGUCUGAGAGGAUGAUCCGCCACACUGGGACUGAGACACGGCCCAGACUCCUACGGGAGGCAGCAGUGGGGAAUUUUGGACAAUGGGCGCAAGCCUGAUCCAGCCAUGCCGCGUGAGUGAAGAAGGCCUUC